AAGCAGUGCUCCUCAGAGGGGCGGUGAGACCCAAGGGGAAAGUCACAUCGUUCGUCCUCUGGAGCAAAGGCGUCGCAGAACCACACGCUCUGUCACCAGAAGCUGCCACAUUAAUACCCUCCAAAGACAACCGCAGAAGAGCUUUUUGUUUGUAAGGCCCUUGACUACUGAUCGAAAAAGGAAAGCAGUAACCAAAAAAAAUUACCAAGAUGGAGAAGCAAUAGCUUAUUGCUGAUGUCUGGCUCUACACAUGGAAAGUCUUUCUGCCUUCCCAAAGCUUGCAGGUACUCUUCUGGUUUAAGCACUUUGGAACACAUAAGUCUAUAGGAUACUUGAAUACUUCCAGUGAUGGGGAGAGCUCUACCUCACUGACACUCUACCGAGUCCAUUUAUUAGUCAUUCCGUCAUAUCAAGUUACCCUGGAGUUGGUAUGGAGACAUUUAAUGGACACACAACUUAAUUUCACCGAGAGCCCAUGGAAAUGAAUGAGGACCUAUUGCGUAUCAGUUAUUUGCUGGGCAUCAUGCUAAACAAUGAAUGACAUUUGAGUUAUAAAAAGUCUAUUACGAAAACAAAGGUUUCUUCUUUUCAACUAUUUGACUGGCAAAGAUAAAGAAGAAUGGUUAACACCUAGAGUGAUGCGAGGAAAAUGGGCGUUCUCAGGCUCAACUCCCGGGGCGGGAGGGUACCGCAGCCUUGCUGGAGGGCUGGGUACCAUCUUGCAUCAUGGAGAUGCAGACAUAGAUAACAGAUUUGUGGGUUCAGGGCAAUUGGUAGGAAGGAGACAGUGGGGCUAAUGGAGACAGCAGUGUGGACAUGUAUACCCUAACAUAUGUAAAAUGGAUAGCAACGGGAAUUCUCUGUAUGUCUCAGGGAACUCAAACCGGG
ensembl:lncRNA